rnacentral:lncRNA from 1 species
CUACUAGAUAUUUAAUGUAAUCACCAUGAUAAUGGCUAAGAUUUAUUAAGCAUCUGCUAUGUGCUUUAUGGUGCUAAGAACUUCUCAUGUAUUUACUCAUUGAAUCUUCACAAAAACCUUAUGAAAUCAGAGCUGAUGAAUACUCAGUCAGAAGAAAUGCAGGCCUGCAGGUUUGUCCACAAAGUGUUCCCAUCAACCGUACGGCUCUCUCAAAUGUUACUGUCUAUAUGAAUCCACCUUGGGAUAUUAGUAAAAUGAGUUUCUGAUACAGAAGAUCUAGAAAGCGCCUGAAAUGCUGAUAUUCUGUCUCCCAGUGGAGGAGUUCAGCUAUUACCUUGACUUUGCCGAAGUCCUAGGCACUCCCAUGCCCUCAGAGUCUCAUUUUGAAUCCAGGCACUUAGGGAUGCUAUUUUUCCACAUCAAACAGCUUCCUCCCAGCCAAAGAAUUCUGGUGACAGUAGUGAAGAUAAUUUUCACUCCUGCUUACAGAAUGACAAAGCAAAAGCAAAGAGGAGAAGAAUGAAGUAAAGACAACCAAAGGAAAAGACUGAUGGCUCCUUAAGAAUGAUCUUGAUAAAGGAAUGGUGGCUGAGGGGUCCAUCUCCUAAACCACCCACCUUACUGACUCCCUAGAGCAAUGCCAUACAGAAAGCUGCACCUUGAGGGGAAGACACAAGAAUCCUGGAGUGGAAAAAAAUUGGGUAAUGAUGACAGCCUUCGAGGUCUUGAGAGUAAAGCAGAAGCAAAAAAAAAGUGUUAUUUUUAUCUUUUGAAGAUGGUUCCCUCUUAAGACUUUUGCGAAUGAUUAAGAUUUCAAUUAUGUUCCAGGAAAAAAAUAAGAUUUUUGCUUGACAAAAAAAAUUUUUGUCUAGAACAGGUGGGAAGGAAGAGAUAGUUUAGCCACAUCCAAGAGACCUGUAAAUUGGGUACAGUGAAGUGAAUGGUGUACCAGUCAUAAAAGAAUGUUAACUGGAGAAGUCUCUGCUGUCUUCCUGUAACUGAGGGGGGUGUAACCAUCCUUGUGGAAGCGUCCACUUUUAUUGAAGAUUGGCUAAAUAAAUCUGUGCCUACUGAAACUCAAGC